UAGGGAAUCUUCGGCAAUGGACGAAAGUCUGACCGAGCAACGCCGCGUGAGUGAAGAAGGUUUUCGGAUCGUAAAACUCUGUUGUUAGAGAAGAACAAGGACGUUAGUAACUGAACGUCCCCUGACGGUAUCUAACCAGAAACCCACGGCUAACUACGUGCCAGCCGCCGCGGUAAUACGUAGGUGGCAAGCGUUGUCCGGAUUUAUUGGGCGUAAAGCGAGCGCAGGCGGUUUCUUAAGUCUGAUGUGAAAGCCCCCGGCUCAACCGGGGAGGGUCAUUGGAAACUGGGAGACUUGAGUGCAGAAGAGGAGAGUGGAAUUCCAUGUGUAGCGGUGAAAUGCGUAGAUAUAUGGAGGAACACCAGUGGCGAAGGCGGCUCUCUGGUCUGUAACUGACGCUGAGGCUCGAAAGCGUGGGGAGCAAACAGG
rnacentral:rRNA from 1 species